ACUACGGGUGGCAGCAGUGGGGAAUAUUGGGCAAUGGGGGGAACCCUGAUGCAGCGACGCCGCGUGGGUGAAGAAGCGCCUCGGCGCGUAAAGCCCUGUCAGCAGGGAAGAAAAUGACGGUACCUGAAGAAGAAGCCCCGGCUAACUACGUGCCAGCAGCCGCGGUAAUACGUAGGGGGCAAGCGUUAUCCGGAUUUACUGGGUGUAAAGGGGGCGCAGACGGCGAUGCAAGCCAGGAGUGAAAGCCCGGGGCCCAACCCCGGGACUGCUCUUGGAACUGCGUGGCUGGAGUGCAGGAGGGGCAGGCGGAAUUCCUGGUGUAGCGGUGAAAUGCGUAGAUAUCAGGAGGAACACCGGUGGCGAAGGCGGCCUGCUGGACUGCAACUGACGUUGAGGCCCGAAAGCGUGGGGAGCAAACAGGAUUAGAUACCCCAGUAGUC
rnacentral:rRNA from 1 species